rnacentral:ncRNA from 2 species
AUAAUGGAAUUGUAUUCGGUAUGUAUAAUAAACCAAAUUGGUGGUUGAGUCUCUACCCUGUGACCGUAUAAUUGCAGGACUACAUAUGAACUUGUAUCGUUA